UUAAAUAAACCAAAGACUAACAAAAAAGACUAGUACAAUAAGCUCAUAAUUUAGAAGUAGCUGUCAGCAUCACGUAAUUCGCUCUAGGACUGUCCGGUUCUUGCACCGGAUCAGGCCUAAAGCAUCUGUGACCUUCAAAAUCGAGAGACCCUUUUUCCUUGUUAGAGGCUGAACGCAAACCAAUAUACUUUGGAACUAUCAAUUUCGUCUUUUGGAAGAAACAAUAGGUAGCAUUACCGCGAAAAAUAUGUUAGUUUAUUUUGAAGACACAAAGGUGAUAAAUUAAAUAAACAGUUCAGCUCUAAGCUCUUCACCCGGGUCACUCACCUGUAACUUUCGAUUCCCGGUGAAGCGGUAACAACGACUGGCACAGCCGUAGCAAACGGUGCGCGUUUCCUCACAACCUGAGGCGGACCACAGCCUAACACCAGAGACAGAGGAACAUCCAUGUCGUCCAUUUCUUCUAACGCCAGACAGAAGCUGUCAGAAAAAAAAACACAGUUAACUUAUUAUAAACUUCAAGAAAUCAGCUUGUUAUUUAAUAAUUAAUAAUUUAAUAAUUUAAUUCAAAAUAUUGUUACCGGGAAUCUGUUAUCUUUACUUUGUUUAUUGCUAUUGUUGUGCCCAGAGAAGCGUAUCAGAAAAAAAAACAGUUUAAAUGGUAUAUAUAAUAACAAUGUUGAUAAUACUAUUAAUAACUCACACGUGGAUUCUCUUCUACUUAAUCUAUACACAUAAAUAAAAUUGGAGUGUCUGUUUGUAAUAUUGAAAUAA